GGCCCCGCGGUGGUUACACGUUAGAUUGCAAAUCUAAAGAAGUAGGUAGAUCGCCUACCGGGGCUU
rnacentral:tRNA from 1 species